rnacentral:rRNA from 1 species
AAAUUGAAGAGUUUGAUCAUGGCUCAGAUUGAACGCUGGCGGCAGGCCUAACACAUGCAAGUCGAACGGUAGCACAGAGAGCUUGCUCUCGGGUGACGAGUGGCGGACGGGUGAGUAAUGUCUGGGAAACUGCCUGAUGGAGGGGGAUAACUACUGGAAACGGUGGCUAAUACCGCAUAACGUCGAAAGACCAAAGAGGGGGACCUUCGG